CUGCCUGAGUCCAUUAGAGUAAUUACUACCAAUGGCAGCUAUAGCCUUACAAAAUGUAUUUCUUUAAUAAAGACCUCAAAGUCAAAGUAACUCCUUGAUCCAUGGGCCACAGAAUGGAUAUGUUGGCAGGCAUGAAAAUGAUAUUAAUUUCCUUGUGCAUCUCCAUUAGAGCUCUUGUGUGACUAGAUGCAUUGUUAAUGAGCAGUAAUAUUUUGAAGAGAACCUUCAAAAUAGUAGGUCUCAACAGUGGGCUUAAAAUAUUUAGCACAUCGUGCUGUAAACAGAUGUGCUGUCAUCAGUCUUUAUUGUUCCAUUAAUAGAAUACAGGCAGAGGCCACACGGUCUUUGAGCUGAACCCGAAGUGGUCGUUUUUAUCGCAGCUUCCCCAUUUCCACGGAUCCCUGCUUAAGCCUCCUGUGGAAGCCUGGGCCCGCUUCGUAGCUUUCUCCCUUUGUCUCAUAACCAUGUCCACCAACGAGAAUGCACAUACACCUGCUGUCCAUCUUAACAGAUUCAAAAACAAGGGAAAAGACAGUACAGAAAUGAGGCGUCGCAGAAUAGAAGUCAAUGUGGAGCUGAGGAAAGCUAAGAAGGAUGAUCAGAUGCUGAAGAGGAGAAAUGUAAGCUCAUUUCCUGAUGAUGCUACUUCUCCGCUGCAGGAAAACCGCAACAACCAGGGCACGGUAAAUUGGUCUGUUGAUGACAUUGUCAAAGGCAUAAAUAGCAACAACAUGGAAAAUCAGCUCCAAGCUACUCAAGCUGCCAGGAAACUACUUUCUAGAGAAAAACAGCCCCCCAUAGACAACAUAAUCCGGGCUGGUUUGAUUCCAAAAUUUGUGUUCUUCUUGGGCAGAACUGAUUGUAGUCCCAUUCAGUUUGAAUCUGCUUGGGCACUCACUAACAUUGCUUCUGGGACAUCAGAACAAACCAAGGCUGUGGUAGAUGGAGAUGCCAUCCCAGCAUUCAUUUCUCUGUUGGCAUCUCCCCAUGCUCACAUCAGUGAACAAGCUGUAUGGGCUCUAGGAAACAUUGCAGGUGAUGGCUCAGUGUUCCGAGACUUGGUUAUUAAGUACGGUGCAGUUGACCCACUCUUGGCUCUUCUUGCAGUUCCUGAUACGUCAUCUCUGGCAUGUGGUUACUUACGUAAUCUUACCUGGACACUUUCAAAUCUUUGCCGAAACAAGAAUCCUGCACCCCCGUUAGAUGCUGUUGAGCAGAUUCUUCCUACCUUAGUUCGGCUCCUGCAUCAUGAUGAUCCAGAAGUAUUAGCAGAUACUUGCUGGGCUAUUUCCUACCUUACUGAUGGUCCAAAUGAACCAUCACGACAUGGUCGUGAAAACAGGAGUUGUGCCCCAACUUGUGAAGCUUCUAGGAGCUUCUGAAUUGCCAAUUGUGACUCCUGCACUAAGAGCCAUAGGGAAUAUUGUGACUGGUACAGAUGAACAGACUCAGAUUGUGAUAGAUGCAGGAGCGCUUGCCAUUUUUCCCAGCUUGCUCACCAACCCCAAAACUAACAUUCAGAAGGAAGCUACAUGGACAAUGUCAAACAUCACGGCUGGCUGUCAGGACCAGAUACAGCAAGUUGUGAAUCACGGAUUAGUCCCAUUCCUUGUCAGUGUUCUUUCUAAGGCAGAUUUUAAGACACAAAAGGAAGCUGUAUGGGCUGUGACCAACUAUACCAGUGGUGGAACAGUUGAACAGAUUGUGUACCUUGUUCAUUGUGGCGUAACAGAACCAUUGAUGAACCUCUUAACUGCAAAAGAUAACAAGAUUAUUCUGGUUAUCCUGGAUGCCAUUUCAAAUAUCUUUCAGGCUGCUGAGAAAUUAGGUGAAACUGAGAAUCUUAGUAUAAUGAUUGAAGGAUGUGGAGGCCUAGACAAAAUUGAAGCUCUACAAAACCAUGAAAAUGAGUCUGUGUAUAAGGCUUCAUUAAACUUAAUUGAGAAGUAUUUCUCUGUAGAGGAAGAGGAAGAUCAAAAUGUUGUGCCAGAAACUACCUCUGAAGGCUAUACCUUCCAAGUUCAGGAUGGGACUCCUGGGACCUUUAACUUUUAGAUCAUGUAGCUGAGGUAUAAAUUUGUUGUGUACUAUGUUUGGUAUUUUGUCUUCCUGUUUCUCUACGAAGAACUCUUUCUAAAUGUGGUUUAUUAUUGUAGCACUUUUUACACUGAAACUAUACUUGAACAGUUCCAACUGUACAUACUGUAUGAAGCUUAUCCUCUGGCUACAUUUCUUAUUUCUAUGUGGAAUUUCAUAUCUUGCAGCCUCCUGUAAAUAAACAUUAAAACCCACCCAAAAAAAAAAAAAAAAAAAAGAAUACAGGCAGAGUAGAUUUAGCAUAAUUCUAAGGGCCCUAGGAUUUUUGGAAUGGUAAAUAAACAUUAGUUUCAACUUAAAGUUACUGGCUACAUUAACCCCUAAUGAGAGUCAGCCUUGGAAAUUUUGAAACUAGGCCCUGACUUCUCUCUAGCUAUGUAAAUUCUAGAUGGUGUCUUCCAAUAUAAGGCUGUUUUAUCUACAAUGAAAAUCUCAUUUAGUAUAGCCAUCUUCAUCAGUGAUCUUAGCCAUAGCUGCAUAGUUUGCCACAUAAUCUAUAUUAGCAUUUGCUGCUUCACCUUUAUUUUAAAAGGAUGGCUUCUUUCCUUAAACCUCAUGAACCAACUUUUACUACCUUCAAACUUUUCUUCUGCAGCUACCUCACCUCUCUCAACCUUCCUAGAAUUGGAGAGUUAGGGCCUUGCUAUGGAUUAGACUUUAGCUUAAGGGAAUAUUGUGGCUGGUUUGAUGUUUUAUCCAGACCGUUAAAACUUUAUUCGUUUUCAGCAAUAAGUCUGUUAUACUUUUUUACUAUUUGUGUGUUCACAGGAGUAGCAUUUCUAGCUUUAAAAAAAUUUAUUAUUUUUUCCCUUUCAGCAGACUGGAAGAUUUCUAGCUUUUGAUUUAAAGUGAGCAAUGUGGCCAGGCAUGGUGCUUUCUGUCUGUAAUCCCAGCACUUUGGGAGGCUGAGGUGGGAGCACUGCUUGAGCUCAGGAGUUUGAGACUAGCCUGGGCAACAUGGCACAACCCAUUUCUACUAAAACUUAACCAGGCAUGGUGGUGUGCACCUGUAGCCACAGCAACUUGGGAGGCUGAUGUUGGGGGGAUCGCUUGAGCCUGUGGGGGUUGAGGCUGCAGUCAGCCAUGAUUGCACCACUGCACUCCAGCCUAGGUGACAGAGAAAGACCCCAUCUCAAAAAAUAAUAAAUAGAUGUAUGACUCUUAUUUUCAUGUGAACAUUUAGAGGCCAUUGUAGGAUUAUUAAUUGGUCUCAUUUCAGUAGUGUUAUGUCUUAGGGAAUGAGGAGGCCUGAGGAGAGGGAUAGAGACAGAAGAACUGCUGGUCAGUGGGGCAGUGAGAACAUACACAACAUUUAUCAAUUGAGUUCACCUGUUACAUAGGCAUGGUUUGUGGCACCCCAAAACAAUAACAUCAAAGAUGACUGAUCACAGAUCACCAUAACAGAUACAAUAAUAAUGAAAAUUUGAAAUGUUGCAGGAAUUACCAAAAUGUGAUGCAGAGAUAUGAAGUGAGCACUUGAGCCUGGAAAAAUGGUGUCAUAUACUUGCAGGGUCUAUCGGCAGGGUUGCUACAAACCUUCAGUGUGUAAAAGAUGCAAUGUCUGUGAAACACAACAAAGAGAUGGGCAAUAAAACGAGGUACAGCUAAUCAGAUAAUUCUCCAUGGACCACUUGUGUUUCUGUGUAUCUUAUAAGCAGAUGUACUGACUGCAUUAUUUUUCAAGGAUGUUUAUAUGAUAGAAAAGAUAGAGAUAGUGUCUCCCUCCAAAAUGAAGGGCAAGUUUAUUUAGAGCCUUGGAAGAUAGAGAGUGUCUCUUUCUGGACCAAAGGACAUUAUAAAAACUUUAGAUUCCCUAUGCUCAGCGUUCCUUUCCUGUAAUGCAACUAUCUGCAUGUAUGGAUAUCACCUGGUCUUUGCAUUGCCCUGUGGGAACUGGGGCUUGGGAAACAGAACAAGAAAAUGUUGGUAUUUUGACUAUUGCUGUGAGCAAUAAAGUUCUUUGUCUCU